rnacentral:snRNA from 1 species
AUACUUACCUGGCAGGGUAAGUGCCAUGACCGUGAAGGUGGUUUUCCCAAGCCAGGCUUAUCCGUUGAGCUCCAGAUGUGUUGAACCCUGUGAUUUUCCUAAAUUCAAAAAGCUUGACUGCAUAAUUUGUGAUAGUUGGGGGACUGGGUUCAAGCUCUCCCCUA